CCUACGGGAGGCUGCAGUGGGGAAUAUUGGACAAUGGGGGGAACCCUGAUCCAGCCAUGCCGCGUGUGUGAAGAAGGCCCUCGGGUUGUAAAGCACUUUCAGUGAGGAAGAACGCCUGGUGGUUAAUACCCAUCAGGAAAGACAUCACUCACAGAAGAAGCACCGGCUAACUCCGUGCCAGCAGCCGCGGUAAUACGGAGGGUGCGAGCGUUAAUCGGAAUUACUGGGCGUAAAGCGCGCGUAGGUGGCUUGAUAAGCCGGUUGUGAAAGCCACGGGCUCAACCUGGGAACGGCAUCCGGAACUGUCAAGCUAGAGUGCAGGAGAGGAAGGUAGAAUUCCCGGUGUAGCGGUGAAAUGCGUAGAGAUCGGGAGGAAUACCAGUGGCGAAGGCGGCCUUCUGGACUGACACUGACACUGAGGUGCGAAAGCGUGGGUAGCAAACAGGAUUAGAUACCCGGGUAGUC
rnacentral:rRNA from 1 species